AUGGACCGAUCCGCCGCGGCGGAGCUGGAGAGGGCGGAGAGGGUGGUGAGGCGGUGGAACUCCACGGCGUCCGCGCCCGCGGGCGGCGGGGGCGGGGGCGGGGGCGGGGGCGGGGAGGACCAGAUGCUGUUCGACGGCGGCGGGGACCGGGCGGAGGCCGAGCGCUUCCUCCAGGCGGUGGACGACCUCCGCCGCCUCGCGCCGCCGUCCCCCGGCAGCCCGCGCCGCACCUCCUCGACGGGGGGCUCCGGCGCCGUCCAGGUCGCCAUGGCGCGGCUCGAGGACGAGUUCCGCCACGUGCUGGCGUCGCGCGCCGUCGACCUCGAGAUCGAGGUGCUGGCCGACCUCAGCUCCCUCUCCAUGUGCAGCGACCGCUCCAGCUUCUCCGACGUCGGCGACGCGCCGCCGCCGGUGGACGACGACUCCGUCGAGUCCUCCGUCGGCCGCCGCAGCAGCUACCGCUCCAUGCGCAGCAUCCGCGAGAUCGACCUCCUCCCGCCCGAAGCCGUCACAGACCUUAACGCCAUCGCCUCCCGCAUGGCCGCCGCCGGCUACGACCGCGAGUGCGUCCAGGUCUACGCCUCCGUCCGCAAGCCGGCCGUCGACUCCGCCCUGCGCCGCCUCGGCGUCGAGAAGCUCACCAUCGGCGACGUCCAGCGGCUCGAGUGGGACGCCCUCGAGGUCAAGAUCCGCCGCUGGAUCCGCGCAGCUCGCGCCGCCAUCCGCGGCGUUUUCGCCAGCGAGCGCCGCCUUUGCUUCCUCAUCUUCCACGACCUCCCCCUCUCCAACCCCACCAUCGCCACCCCCGCUCCCACCACCACGCUCGCCGCCCCCUUCGUCGAAACUGUCAGGGGCGCCGCGCUGCAGCUCUUUGGCUUUGCCGAGGCCAUCAGCAUCGGCCGCCGCUCACCGGAGAAGCUCUUCAAGAUCAUUGAUCUGCACGAUGCACUGGCCGAUCUGCUGCCUGAUGUCUCCGAUAUCUUCGCCGCCUCCAAGGCCGGGGAAUCCAUAUAUGUGCAGACUACCGAGAUCAGGGCGCGUCUGGCUGAUGCUGUCCGUGGGAUACUCUCUGAGUUCGAGAACGCCGUUCUCUGUGAUCCCUCCAAGACUCCAGUACCCGGCGGCACCAUCCAUCCCCUCACUCGCUAUGUGAUGAAUUACAUUGUCCUCAUUUCCGACUACAAGACGACACUUUCUGAGCUGAUCGUGUCACGGCCAUCAGCUAGCUCGCGUGUUCGUGCCGAGGGCAAUGAGCUCAGACCGCCAUUUCCUGAUCUGGACCUUCCUGAUCCUGACAGCCAGCUACCCCUUUCUGCUCAUCUCAUCUGGACUAUUGUGGUUCUUGAACACAACCUUGAAGGCAAGGCAUCACUCUACAAGGACCCGGCACUCUCUCACUUGUUCCUAAUGAACAAUGUGCACUAUAUUGUGCACAAGGUAAAGGACUCGCCUGAGCUCCGGGGACUCAUUGGCGAUGUGUACCUAAAGCGGCUUACAGGAAUAUCCAAAUCAGCACUUCGGGAGCGAUUCAAGUCUUUCAAUGCUGCGUUCGAGGAGGCACAUAGGGUCCAGUCUGGGUGGUAUGUGCCUGACACACAGCUGAAAGAAGAGCUUAGGAUCUCAAUAGCAGAGAAGCUGCUCCCAGCAUAUCGAUCCUUCCUUGGUCGAUUCCGGCAUCAUAUUGAGAAUGGGAGGCAUCCAGAGUUGUACAUCAAAUACACAGUUGAGGACCUUGAGAUAUCCGUGACGGAUUUCUUCGAGGGGUCUCCACCUCCGCCGCAUAAUAGGAGGAGAUCCCAUGGAUGA
rnacentral:rRNA from 1 species